rnacentral:rRNA from 1 species
AUUGAACGCUGGCGGCAGGCCUAACACAUGCAAGUCGAGCGGUAGCACAGAGAGCUUGCUCUCGGGUGACGAGCGGCGGACGGGUGAGUAAUGUCUGGGAAACUGCCUGAUGGAGGGGGAUAACUACUGGAAACGGUAGCUAAUACCGCAUAAUGUCGCAAGACCAAAGUGGGGGACCUUCGGGCCUCAUGCCAUCAGAUGUGCCCAGAUGGGAUUAGCUAGUAGGUGGGGUAACGGCUCACCUAGGCGACGAUCCCUAGCUGGUCUGAGAGGAUGACCAGCCACACUGGAACUGAGACACGGUCCAGACUCCUACGGGAGGCAGCAGUGGGGAAUAUUGCACAAUGGGCGCAAGCCUGAUGCAGCCAUGCCGCGUGUGUGAAGAAGGCCUUCGGGUUGUAAAGCACUUUCAGCGGGGAGGAAGGCGGUGAGGUUAAUAACCUCAUCGAUUGACGUUACCCGCAGAAGAAGCACCGGCUAACUCCGUGCCAGCAGCCGCGGUAAUACGGAGGGUGCAAGCGUUAAUCGGAAUUACUGGGCGUAAAGCGCACGCAGGCGGUCUGUCAAGUCGGAUGUGAAAUCCCCGGGCUCAACCUGGGAACUGCAUUCGAAACUGGCAGGCUAGAGUCUUGUAGAGGGGGGUAGAAUUCCAGGUGUAGCGGUGAAAUGCGUAGAGAUCUGGAGGAAUACCGGUGGCGAAGGCGGCCCCCUGGACAAAGACUGACGCUCAGGUGCGAAAGCGUGGGGAGCAAACAGGAUUAGAUACCCUGGUAGUCCACGCCGUAAACGAUGUCGAUUUGGAGGUUGUGCCCUUGAGGCGUGGCUUCCGGAGCUAACGCGUUAAAUCGACCGCCUGGGGAGUACGGCCGCAAGGUUAAAACCCAAAUGAAUUGACGGGGGCCCGCACAAGCGGUGGAGCAUGUGGUUUAAUUCGAUGCAACGCGAAGAACCUUACCUGGUCUUGACAUCCACAGAACUUUCCAGAGAUGGAUUGGUGCCUUCGGGAACUGUGAGACAGGUGCUGCAUGGCUGUCGUCAGCUCGUGUUGUGAAAUGUUGGGUUAAGUCCCGCAACGAGCGCAACCCUUAUCCUUUGUUGCCAGCGGUCCGGCCGGGAACUCAAAGGAGACUGCCAGUGAUAAACUGGAGGAAGGUGGGGAUGACGUCAAGUCAUCAUGGCCCUUACGACCAGGGCUACACACGUGCUACAAUGGCAUAUACAAAGAGAAGCGACCUCGCGAGAGCAAGCGGACCUCAUAAAGUAUGUCGUAGUCCGGAUUGGAGUCUGCAACUCGACUCCAUGAAGUCGGAAUCGCUAGUAAUCGUAGAUCAGAAUGCUACGGUGAAUACGUUCCCGGGCCUUGUACACACCGCCCGUCACACCAUGGGAGUGGGUUGCAAAAGAAGUAGGUAGCUUAACCUUCGGGAGGGCGCUUACCACUUUGUGAUUCAUGACUGGGGUGA